rnacentral:rRNA from 1 species
UAGGGAAUAUUGGUCAAUGGGCGCGAGCCUGAACCAGCCAUGCCGCGUGCAGGAUGACGGCCUUCUGGGUUGUAAACUGCUUUUCUACAGGAAGAAAAGGGUCAUGCGUGACAUAUUGCCGGUAUUGUAGGAAUAAGCACCGGCUAACUCCGUGCCAGCAGCCGCGGUAAUACGGAGGGUGCAAGCGUUGUCCGGAUUUAUUGGGUUUAAAGGGUGCGUAGGUGGGUCAUUAAGUCAGUGGUGAAAGCCGGCAGCUCAACUGUCGAACUGCCAUUGAUACUGGUGAUCUUGAAUUCAGUUGAGGUAGGCGGAAUUGAUGGUGUAGCGGUGAAAUGCAUAGAUACCAUCAGGAACCCCGAUUGCGAAGGCAGCUUACUGGACUUGAAUUGACACUGAUGCACGAAAGCGUGGGGAGCGAACAGGAUUAGAUACCCCCGUAGUCC